UACGUAGGGGGCAAGCGUUGUCCGGAAUCAUUGGGCGUAAAGUGCGUGUAGGCGGUCCGGUAAGUCCGCUGUGAAAGUCGGGGGCUCAACCCUCGGAUGCCGGUGGAUACUGUCGGGCUUGAGUACGGAAGAGGCGAGUGGAAUUCCUGGUGUAGCGGUGAAAUGCGCAGAUAUCAGGAGGAACACCAAUUGCGAAGGCAGCUCGCUGGGACGUUACUGACGCUGAGGCGCGAAAGCGUGGGGAGCAAACAGG
rnacentral:rRNA from 1 species